rnacentral:rRNA from 1 species
CACGUAGGGGACGAGCGUUGUCCGGAAUCAUUGGGCGUAAAGCGCGCGUAGGCGGCCCGGAAAGUCGGAUGUGAAAUCCCGGGGCUCAACUCCGGGCCUGCAGCCGAUACGGGCAGACUAGAGUUCGGCAGGGGAGACUGGAAUUCCUGGUGUAGCGGUGAAAUGCGCAGAUAUCAGGAGGAACACCGGUGGCGAAGGCGGGUCUCUGGGCCGAUACUGACGCUGGAGGAGCGAAAGCGUGGGGAGCGAACAGG